rnacentral:rRNA from 1 species
GACGAACGCUGGCGGCGUGCCUAAUACAUGCAAGUCGAACGCACAGUUUAUACCGUAGCUUGCUACACCAUAAACUGUGAGUUGCGAACGGGUGAGUAACGCGUAGGUAACCUGCCUGGUAGCGGGGGAUAACUAUUGGAAACGAUAGCUAAUACCGCAUAAUAUUAAUUAUUGCAUGAUAAUUGAUUGAAAGAUGCAAUUGCAUCACUACCAGAUGGACCUGCGUUGUAUUAGCUAGUAGGUGAGGUAACGGCCCACCUAGGCGACGAUACAUAGCCGACCUGGGAGGGUGAACGGCCACACUGGGACUGAGACACGGGCCAGACUCCUACGGGAGGCAGCAGUAGGGAAUCUUCGGCAAUGGACGAAAGGCUGACCGAGCAACGCCGCGGGAGGGAAGAAGGGUGUCGGAUCGUAAAGCUCUGUUGUAAGAGAAGAACGGGUGUGAGAGUGGAAAGUUCACACUGUGACGGUAGCUUAACAGAAAGGGACGGCUAACUACGUG